AGUUCGAUUCUGGCUCAGAUUGAACGCUGGCGGGAUGCUUUUUACACAUGCAAGUCGAACGGCAGCACGGACUUCGGUCUGGUGGCGAGUGGCGAACGGGUGAGUAAUGUGAUUUCGGAACGCUUCAGCGGGGAUAACUACAGAAAGGUAGCUAAUACACGUAACACUUGGGAAAGUGGGGGACCUUUCGGGCCUCUGCAAUUAGAGCGGCCGAUAUCGGAUUAGCUAGUUGGUGGGGUAACGGCUCACCAAGGCGACGAUCCGUAGCUGGUUUGAGAGGACGACCAGCCACACUGGGACUGAGACACGGCCCAGACUCCUACGGAGGCAGCAGUGGGGAAUUUUGGACAAUGGGAAACCUGAUCCAGCCAUCCCGCGUGUGCGAUGAAGGCCUUCGGGUUGUAAAAGCACUUUUGGCAGGAAAGAAACGGCACGGGAUAAUACCCCGUGCAACUGACGGUACCUGCAGAAUAAGCACCGGCUAACUACGCGCCAGCAGCCGCGGUAAUACGUAGGGUGCAAGCGUUAAUCGGAAUUACCGGCGCAAAGCGUGCGCAGGCGGUUCGGAAAGAAAGAUGUGAAAUCCCAGAGCUUAACUUUGGAACUGCAUUUUUAACUACCGAGCUAGAGUGUGUCAGAGGGAGGUGGAAUUCCGCGUGUAGCAAUGAAAUGCGUAGAUAUGCGGAGGAACACCGAUGGCGAAGGCAGCCUCCUGGGAUAACACUGACGCUCAUGCACGAAAGCGUGGGGAGCAAACAGGAUUAGAUACUCCCUGGUAGUCCACGCCCUAAACGAUGUCAACUAGCUGUUGGGGCCUUCGGGCCUCGGUGGCGCAGCUAACGCGUGAAGUUGACCGCCUGGGGAGUGGUCGCAAGAUUAAAACUCAAAGGAAUUGACGGGACCUGCACAGCGGUGGAUGAUGUGGAUUAAUUCGAUGCAACGCGAAAAACCUUACCCUACCCUUGACAUGUCUGGAAUCCCGAAGAGAUUUGGGAGUGCUGCAAGAGAACCGGAACACAGGUGCUGCAUGGCUGUCGUCAGCUCGUGUCGUGAGAUGUUAAGAAGUCCUGCAACGAGCGCAACCCUUAUUGCCAGUUGCUGUACGAAAAGGCACUCUAAUGAGACCGCCGGUGACAAACCGGAGGAAGGUGGGAUGACGUCAGCCUUCGCGGCCUCAGGUAGGGCUUCACACGUCAUACAAUGGUCGGGACAGAGGGUCGCCAACCCGCGAGGGGGAGCCAAUCCCAGAAACCCUGAUCGUGAACUGGAUCGCAGUCUGCAACUCGACUGCGUGAAGUCGGAAUCGCUAGUAAUCGCGGAUCAGCAUGUCGCGGUGAAGGUUGUCCCGGUCUUGUACACACCGCCCGUCACACCAUGGAGGGUUUGUACUCAGCAUAGUUAGCCUUAACCAUGGGAGGGGGCGAUUACCACGGUAGGAUUCAUGACUGGGGUGAAGUCGUAACAAGGUAA
rnacentral:rRNA from 1 species